rnacentral:rRNA from 1 species
AUUGAACGCUGGCGGCAGGCCUAACACAUGCAAGUCGAACGAGGGGCGGACGGGUGAGUAAUGUCUGGGAAACUGCCUGAUGGCGGGGGAUAACUACUGGAAACGGUAGCUAAUACCGCAUAACACAAGAUGGGCCCAGAUGGGAUUAGCUGGGGGGUGGGGUAACGGCUCACACAGGCGACGAUCCCUAGCGGGUCUGAGAGGAGGACCAGCCACACUGGAACUGAGACACGGUCCAGACUCCUACGGGAGGCAGCAGUGGGGAAUAUUGCACAAUGGGCGCAAGCCUGAUGCAGCCAUGCCGCGUGUAUGAAGAAGGCCUUCGGGUUGUAAAGUACUUUCAGCGGGGAGGCGUUACCCGCAGAAGAAGCACCGGCUAACUCCGUGCCAGCAGCCGCGGUAAUUC